rnacentral:tRNA from 1 species
AUCAUUAUAGUUUAAAUUCAAAACAUAAUACUGAAGAUAUUAAAAUAACUUUUUAAGUUUAAAGAUA